GGGGAUGAUCGGUUUCGACAGCGGAUGUCGAAGCAGGGGAAGCGAGUCGAGGAAGCGGCAAUGAUCUCGUAAACCAUAUGUCGCAACCAAUAAUCGCCAAUUCCAAGCGCGAUUCCUCCGCCUUCGCCCUCGCUGCCUAAUUAGCAGCUAAGCGAAGACUCUGCGGAGUGUCAGCCCGGGGUUGAUCCCGACCCGGAUCCUGACAUCAUCAAGGGAUCUAAACUUCUGGACCCGGCCACGGGGCCCAGAAGGAAAUCAAACAGUGGCUGGGCCCGUCGGCGGCUUGUCCGCGUGACUGCCGGGGCCGAGAAAAGCGCAGCGGACUGCACUCGGAGAAGCCCUGAUUCUGCACCGUUGGACGCGGGUUCGAUUCCCGCCAUCUCCACAA
rfam:Streptomyces sp. Ncost-T10-10d genome assembly, contig: Ga0115254_1284